AACAACACACAACAUUCCAGGAAUGUACUACCAAAGUUCUAUCAAUAUUUGAAUGUCCUGGACAUUUAGGGAACAUUCGGUGAACAUCUGUUUAAAUUAUUCCUGGAAUGUUACCAUAAGACAUUCUGUGAACAUACUACCAAUGUUCCUAUAUUUUAAGUUGCGAAAUAAUACAUACGUGUAACAGAUUCAGAUACAACAUUACUUAUAACAUACCAGACAAACUAAGUGACAUUUUAGGCCUACAGUGUCAAAUUUAAAGAGUUUCCCAAGUUCAAUUAAUACAAUAUUAUAAACAUACAAAUGUAAUAAAAAUUAUUGUUCGCGAAUAUUCAAUUUGGAAUGCGAUUUUGUUAAUAAAAAAAUACUUAUAACUUAUGCAAAACCCAAGAGAGGCAUUAUUUAUAUUUAUUUCUUUUGCGUUCAUUUUCAAAUUCGCCGUGCAUAUAUUUUUGUGCAUGGCGCUUGAGAGGGCAUCACGUGACUAAAAACGACCAACCAACGACCUCGCUUCGGCCAUCUUGGCAUCUUCAUUUUCAUUUCAUCUUGUCCACCUUGCCCGGCCUUGCCUUGCCGUGGAUAGUUGUAUUAUUUGUGCUUUUUAAGAAUAUUUUUUUAAUUCGGAUACUUUUAUAAUAGCUUUAAUAGUAUUAUUAACAUAGUGCAUAAAAUGGUGUCCUGUUUUUGACGCAGUUGGAGUAGCAGAAACAAAUGUAGAUAAAAAAAUCUGCAGGAAUAACGUUUCAAUUAUGACAGAAGCUCGAAACAAAUGACUGUGAAUUAGUGUGAAUGAAAAGCCCUAUUAAAAGCUUUCCAGAAGAUCCUGCGAAGAAGACAUGAAGUAUAGAUCAGAUUUGUUAAUAGAGGAGUAUGUUCAAAACACUUUUUAGAAAAAGGUAUUGACAGAACUUCACUUUCAUCUGUUCGUUUGAGAGACUGUGCUGUUCCAAUAGCUUAUGUCACACAGAAUCAGCUGAGAGAAGUGGUCUACAAAAAACCAGAAAGGAAACGGAAUAUGUGGCUACGAAAAGCAAAAGAAAGGUUUACAAAGCAAAUGUGACACAUUUUUUUAUAAUAUUUAGGAAUGUCAGUAAAUUACAUUAAAAAAUGUAUGUAAAGAUUUUUUGCAAUAAAAAUGUUUAUAUUUA